rnacentral:rRNA from 1 species
GUCCUAAGGUAGCGAAAUUCCUUGUCGGGUAAGUUCCGACCCGCAUGAAAGGCGUAAUGAUUUGGGCGCUGUCUCAACAAUAGACUCGGUGAAAUUUAAAUUCCAGUGAAGAUGCUGGGUACCCGCGACAGGACGGAAAGACCCCGUGGAGCUUUACUGUAGCUUGAUAUUGAAUGUUUGUGCUGCAUGUGCAGGAUAGGUAGGAGACUUUGAAGUCGGAACGCUAGUUUCGAUUGAGUCACCCUUGAGAUACUACCUCUGUUGUAUGAACGUUCUAACUCUGAUCAGUUAUCCUGAUCGAAGACAGUGUCUGGCAGGCAGUUUGACUGGGGAGGUCGCCUCCUAAAAGAUAACGGAGGCGCUCAAAGGUUUGCUCAGAAUGGUUGGAAAUCAUUCGUAGCGUGUAAAGGCAUAAGCAAGCUUGACUGUGAGACUGACAAGUCGAGCAGGUACGAAAGUAGGACUUAGUGAUCCGGUGGUUCCGUAUGGAAGGGCCAUCGCUCAACGGACAAAAGCUACCCCGGGGAUAACAGGCUCAUCU